GCCACUCAGUGACCGGCGCCCGCUGGCACCUUGGAGCGGCAAGGCCCGCCCGACCCUUUUCUCCCCCAGGGCUCUUUGCACGCGCGUGUGCUAGGCAGGGGGGCGGGAACCCGGGCGCACGCGCAGCGUCCCACCUGCUUCUGCAGGGCCUUUGUGGAUGUGUGAUGUCUUGGGUAAAAAGCAUGGUGCCAGGCAGGCAGCUUGACCCAGCGUUUCCUGAAAAUUUUUGGAAAAACCUGAAGAAGGAAAACAUUUGACCUUGGAAUAAACUAAGGUUGACCUUAAAGCUGGUCUGGUUGCUCACCGGAGGAGCGACAACGACCCCUAACAGACGUAAGGAAUCGGGAAUUAAACUUGGAAUAUUGGGUGGAGAGAUUCAACCAGUUAGCGUGAAAGUUGGAGAUAAAGUUCUUCUCCCAGAAUAUGGAGGCACCAAAGUAGUUCUAGAUGACAAGGUGUGUAAACUUAAUAAUUCUAAAAAGAAGUCAGAUAUUUGCGAUUAGUUGUCUUAACUAAUGGUUUCUUCAUUUGCAGGAUUAUUUCCUAUUUAGAGAUGGUGACAUUCUUGGAAAGUACGUAGACUGAAAUAAGUCACUAUUGAAAUGGCAUCAACAUGAAGCUGCCCAUUCCACUGAAGUUCUGAAAUCUUUCAUCAUGUAAAUAAUUUCCAUAUUUCUCUUUUAUAAUAAACUAAUGAUAACUAAUGA
rnacentral:sRNA from 1 species